ACCCCCUUCGUCCAAUGGGAGGGCCGCUGUCUUACAAACAGCAGACGGGAGUUCGAUUCUCUCAGGGGGUACC
rnacentral:tRNA from 2 species